UGACUUAUGUUAUCAUCUAAAUGUAGGAAAGUGUGAAAAUGGUGGCUAAAUCUCAUUAAGAAAGAGGUGAUGCCUAUGUUGUUCUGUUGGCAAGCCUUUUUAGAAAGGUAAGCAUGACGGUAUAUGAGUCAUUAGCGCUUGUUAUUCAAUUUGCAGCGUUGGUGUUAUUAUACAAAAACAGCAA
rfam:Brochothrix thermosphacta DSM 20171 = FSL F6-1036 c16, whole genome shotgun sequence.